rnacentral:tRNA from 1 species
GGGGCUGUGGCGGAAUUGGCAGACGCACCAGACUUAGGAUCUGGCGUUCGAAAGAACAUACCGGUUCGACUCCGGUCAGCCCCACCA